rnacentral:rRNA from 1 species
AUUGAACGCUGGCGGCAGGCCUAACACAUGCAAGUCGAACGGUAACAGGAAGAAGCUUGCUUCUUUGCUGACGAGUGGCGGACGGGUGAGUAAUGUCUGGGAAACUGCCUGAUGGAGGGGGAUAACUACUGGAAACGGUAGCUAAUACCGCAUAACGUCGCAAGACCAAAGAGGGGGACCUUCGGGCCUCUUGCCAUCGGAUGUGCCCAGAUGGGAUUAGCUAGUAGGUGGGGUAACGGCUCACCUAGGCGACGAUCCCUAGCUGGUCUGAGAGGAUGACCAGCCACACUGUAACUGAGACACGGUCCAGACUCCUACGGGAGGCAGCAGUGGGGAAUAUUGCACAAUGGGCGCAAGCCUGAUGCAGCCAUGCCGCGUGUAUGAAGAAGGCCUUCGGGUUGUAAAGUACUUUCAGCGGGGAGGAAGGGAGUAAAGUUAAUACCUUAGCUCAUUGACGUUACCCGCAGAAGAAGCACCGGCUAACUCCGUG